CACGUAGGGGGCGAGCGUUGUCCGGAAUCAUUGGGCGUAAAGCGCACGUAGGCGGCGCUGUAAGUCGGACGUGAAAUCCCUCGGCUCAACCGAGGACGUGCAUCCGAAACUACAGUGCUCGAGUAUGGAAGAGGGUCGCGGAAUUCUCGGUGUAGAGGUGAAAUUCGUAGAUAUCAGGAGGAACACCGGUGGCGAAGGCGGGUCUCUGGGCAG
rnacentral:rRNA from 1 species